CUGACUGAUUGGCUGGCUGGCUGGCUGACUGGCGGACUUCCUGACUGAUUGGCUGGCUGGCUGGCUGGCUGGCUGGCUGGCUGACUGGCUGGCUGACUGGCUGGCUGACUGUCCUUCCAUUGCCUUCUCUCCCCGGGGAUUCAGACGGGAAAACAAAGCCAGAGAACUUGAACCAACUGUAAUGUAACUAGUUAAAGCAGGCGACACACUUGAGUCUGUCUGUCUGUCUGUCUGUCUGUUAAAGCCAUGAUUAUUCAAUACUACCAUAAUUAUAUUAUUCUAUUGAUCUGUUAUAGUCAUGAUUAUUCAACACCACCAUAAUUAUAUUAUUCUGUUGACAUUGUUGGGGUUGUGAACGUACAGUACAGUAAGAGACUAUUGUUUGUGGAUACUGUACUUUUUAAAGACGAAGCUGAGAACACUGCUGCUACCUGACGGUGACUGUAACAUUAGGUCUGUAGGGUGCCCAUAUUAGGACAGCGUCAAUCACAGCAGUCGUUAUUAGGUCCUGGUCAGACUGAGGAUGCCCUAAUACAGACACCAUAGGUGUGUUAUUUAACAAUGGUUUUCAUUCCAAAUGGCACCUUGUUCCCUUUGUAGCAGAACUAUUGUUGACCAGGGCCUACAGUGUUGACCAGGGCCUACGGUGUUGACCAGGGCCUACGGUGUUGACCAGGUCCUACGGUGUUGACCAGGGCCUACGGUGUUGACCAGGGCCUACGGUGUUGACCAGGGCCUACGGUGUUGACCAGGGCCUACAGUGUUGACCAGGUCCUACAGUGUUGACCAGGUCCUACAGUGUUGACCAGGUCCUACAGUGUUGACCAGGUCCUACGGCUGCUGGUGUUGACCAGGUCCUACAGUGUUGACCAGGGCCUACAGUGUUGACCAGGUCCUACAGUGUUGACCAGGUCCUACAGUGUUGACCAGGUCCUACGGCUGCUGGUGUUGACCAGGUCCUACAGUGUUGACCAGGUCCUACAGUGUUGACCAGUUCCUACAGUGUUGACCAGGUCCUACAGUGUUGACCAGGUCCCACGGCUGCUGGUGUUGACCAGGUCCUACAGUGUUGACCAGGGGCUACAGUGUUGACCAGGUCCUACAGUGUUGACACAGGUCCUACAGUGUUGACCAGGUCCUACAGUGUUGACCAGGUCCUACAGUGUUGACCAGGGCCUACGGCUGCUGGUGUUGACCAGGUCCUACAGUGUUGACCAGGGCCUACAGUGUUGACCAGGUCCUACAGUGUUGACCAAGUCCUACAGUGUUGACCAGGUCCUACAGUGUUGACCAGGUCCUACGGCUGCUGGUGUUGACCAGGUCCUACAGUGUUGACCAGGGCCUACGGUGUUGACCAGGGCCUACGGUGUUGACCAGGUCCUACGGCUGCUGGUGUUGACCAGGGCCUACGGUGAUGACCAGGGCCUACAGUGUUGACCAGGUCCUACGGCUGCUGGUGUUGACCAGGUCCUACGGCUGCUGGUGUUGACCAGGUCCUACGGCUGCUGGUGUUGACCAGGUCCUACGGCUGCUGGUGUUGACCAGGUCCUACAGUGUUGACCAGGUCCUACAGUGUUGACCAGGUCCUACAGUGUUGACUAGGGCCUACGGCUGCUGGUGUUGACCAGGUCCUACAGUGUUGACCAGGGCCUACAGUGUUGACCAGGUCCUACAGUGUUGACCAGGUCCUACGGCUGCUGGUGUUGACCAGGUCCUACAGUGUUGACUAGGUCCUACAGUGUUGACCAGGGCCUACAGUGUUGACCAGGUCCUACAGUGUUGACCAGGUCCUACAGUGUUGACCAGGUCCUACAGUGUUGACCAGGUCCUACGGCUGCUGGUGUUGACCAGGUCCUACGGCUGCUGGUGUUGACCAGGUCCUACGGCUGCUAGUGUUGACCAGGUCCUACAGUGUUGACCAGGUCCUACAGUGUUGACCAGGUCCUACGGCUGCUGGUGUUGACCAGGUCAUACGGCUGCUGGUGUUGACCAGGGCCUACGGCUGCUGCUGUUGACCAGGUCCUACAGUGUUGACCAGGUCCUACGGCUGCUGGUGUUGACCAGGUCCUACGGCUGCUGGUGUUGACCAGGUCCUACGGCUGCUGGUGUUGACCAGGUCCUACGGCUGCUGGUGUUGACCAGGUCCUACAGUGUUGACCAGGUCCUACGGCUGCUGGUGUUGACCAGGUCCUACAGCUGCUGGUGUUGACCAGGUCCUACGGCUGCUGGUGUUGACCAGGUCCUAUGGCUGCUGGUGUUGACCAGGUCCUACGGCUGCUGGUGUUGACCAGGGCCUACGGCUGCUGGUGUUGACCAGGUCCUACGGCUACAUAGUGUACUCUAUGGGGAACAGGAUGCCAUUUGGAACACGGCCUCUAUUGAAGACCUUUCUAGCUAUGUUGAUUCGUUCUGUUGUUUGUGCACGGAAAUGGAAUUAAAUACAACAAGGGCACGUUUUUGUUAUUUUUCAACAUAAUAUAUUUUGCACUGAGACACAAAAAUGUGAUAAUACUGUACAUUUUGUUUUUAGAUGCGUGUAUAAAGCCUCACCAGUGCCACAUCGUUCAAAUGUAUACAAUAUUGUUGUACUGUGGAAUGUUAAUAGUCUUUUGGAUUGCAAUGUAUCGCCUUUACACACAGUCUGCUGGUUGUCAACACUACAGGCCAUAAAGUAGGGGCAGCUGACUGCCAUAGAAUUACCGGCCAUAAAGCCUAUAGAGGAAUCUGCCUGCCAUAGAUCUGUAGUAAGGCCAUAGAGGGAAGCUGACUACCAUAGAUCUGUAGUAAGGCCAUAGAGGGGCAUCUGCUUGCUAUAGAUCUGUAGUAAGGCCAUAGAGGGAAGCUGACUACCAUAGAUCUGUAGUAAGGCCAUAGAGGGAAGCUGACUACCAUAGAUCUGUAGUAAGGCCAUAGAGGGAAGCUGCCUGUCAUAGAUCUGUAGUAAGGCCAUAGAGGGAAGCUGACUACCAUAGAUCUGUAGUAAGGCCAUAGAGGGAAGCUGACUGCCAUAGAUCUGUAGUAAGGCCAUAGAGGGGCAUCUGCUUGCCAUAGAUCUGUAGUAAGGCAAUAGAGGGAAGCUGCCUGCCAUAGAUCUGUAGUAAGGCCAUAGAGGGAAGCUGACUGCCAUAGAUCUGUAGUAAGGCCAUAGAGGGAAGCUGACUGCCAUAGAUCUGUAGUAAGGCCAUAGAUGGGCAGCUGAUCGUAUAAAUCUACUGUAUGGCCAUAGAGCUAUAAGCCACAUAAAGAGAACAGACAGUAUAGGCCAUAAUAUACAGAAGAGCAAUUGAAUGUUUGUAGCUACAUGAAUGCCGUAGAGCUGUAGUAUGGCCAUAUAAAGGGGUAGCUGAAUGUUUGUAGCUACGUGAAUGCCGUAGAGCUGUAGUAAGGCCAUAUGAAGGGAUAGCUGAAUGUUUGUAGCUACGUGAAUGCCGUAGAGCUGUAGUAAGGCCAUAUGAAGGGAUAGCUGAAUGUUUGUAGCUACGUGAAUGCCGUAGAGCUGUAGUAAGGCCAUAUGAAGGGAUAGCUGAAUGUUUGUAGCCAUGAAUAUUGCUACAGUUAGAGUUUAGGCCAUAGAGUUACAGUAAUGCUAGAUGUGUUAUAUCCAUUAGAGCUACAGUAGAGAGACAUAAGUUUGACCAUAGUUACAGAGAGAGACAGCUAGAUGCUACAGAAGGCCAACAGGUUUAUACCAGAGAGUAGUGACCAUACUUACAGAGAGAGACAGCGAGAUGCUACAGAAGGCUAACAGGUUUAUACCAGAGAGUAGUGACCAUAGUUACAGAGAGAGACAGCUAGAUGCUACAGAAGGCUAACAGGUUUAUACCAGAGAUAGAGUAGUGACCAUAGUUACAGAGAGAGACAGCUAGAUGCUACAGAAGGCCAACAGGUUUAUACCAGAGAGUAGUGACCAUAGUUACAGAGAGAGACAGCUAGAUGCUACAGAAGGCUAACAGGUUUAUACCAGAGAUAGAGUAGUGACCAUAGUUACAGAGAGAGGCAGCUGUAUGCUACAGAAGGCCAACAGGUUUAUACCAGAGAGUAGUGACCAUACUUACAGAGAGAGACAGCUGGAUGCUACAGAAGGCCAACAGGUUUAUACCAGAGAUAAAGUAGUGACCAUACUUACAGAGAGAGACAGCUAAAUGCUACAGAAGGCUAACAGGUUUAUACCAGAGAGUAGUGACCAUACUUACAGAGAGAGACAGCUAGAUGCUACAGAAGGCUAACAGGUUUAUACCAGAGACAUCACAAUAAGACCUCAAACCUCCUGUUGUUCCCCACCGGAACAGAGAAUUCACUAUAAAUAAAUGUUUCUUUUUUCUGUA